CCCAAUUACUUGCUUCCUUAAGGCUGCUACAUUUUUUCCUUCUUCAAAAUAAUCUAGAAAAAUACCUAGUCUUCCCUCUUUCCUAUGCAUUUAUCGAUGUGGCAUAACAAGACACCACAGCCUCCCCCAAACCCAGUGGAAUGUUGUGGAGAAGGCAGAGAAGCACUCAGAUUGGUAAUUAGAGGAUGCAACAUCUUGUGAGGUUUAGGAUUAAAAUCCCAGCCAAGAAGUGCCUGGAAAAAAACGGAUGAUUACUCAGUCCCCUUGCGGGUCACCAUGCCUGGCUCCUCUCCGUGGGGAAGCAGUUGUAACUUGUUCAACUCAAGGGCAGCCUCGUAUUCUCCCAGGCUCUCUGGGCCAAGAAGUGGGUUCUGGGAGGGCCCAAAUGGGCAUAUGUUUGUCCUUCAAUUCCGAUCAUAAUCUAUAGUCAUUACUUUAAUAGCACUUUAUAGCUGUAGGGAGAUUUAUGGCAGGUUUUAUGAGCUAAUUCUCAUCCACAAUCUCAGGUGAGGCCCUGUCACCCAUCCACCCCUUUGUGCAGCCCGGGACACUGAGGCCCAGUGGGAGGGGGUGCAGUUUAGCUCACCCCGCUCAGUUAGGGGAGGCUGGGGUUCCAGCACUUCAUAGAUACCUUUGUUCCUUGGCAGCAUUGCCAAAUGGUCUCAUAGCUAGAGGCUUCAUGCCUUUUUUAGCGCUUCACCAUGGCAUGGAAUUACAUGUAGUCCAGUUCAUGCCUCUCACAGCCCAGGGAAAGAGAGAAUGAACAAAGAGGAAGUAUGGGGUCAGAGUUAGUUGAGGCCCAAAUUCAUUGCCAUCCAGGCCCAGUCACUGUGGCUGGACGACAGUGGCAGUCUGCAGGGUCAUCAGCUGGCUGGAGGACUCCUCGGGCAGUGUCUGCACAGAACAUCGGCCCUCAGCAUUGCCAAAUGGGCAUAUUUCAUUCCAGGACUUACGGUGGGGGGUGGGGGAGUUGUCCCUGCCUCUGGGAGGGCAGGAAACAGGCAGGCGACAGGACUGCUCUUUCACUUUGGCUCAGCUAUGAGCGAAACAGUUGUGCCCAGAAGCCAGGAGUACUUUAGAGUUUUAGCUGCUCAUUCUGAGAACCCACCUGCCCCCAGUAACAAGAGCACUUUUUCUUUGCCUGAUGAGAAUUGAUGGGUAUGCACGGUUGUCCAUUUUUUUCCCCCAAAAUAUAGAUGUUACUAUUUCACUCUUCCUUAAGAUACUUCAGUACCUGCUCAUCUCCCAUGGCGCCCAGGGUGAGCACAGAAGUGGGGUCAUGUGAAUGCAAUGAGGAUCUUGCUUCCGGGCUUCUCACUUAUCAGCCCUGGUGGUCUUUGGCAACGCUCAAGUUUAUGGGUCUGCAACAUGCCCAAAUGUGUGAGGUGGAAGAAGACAUAACAGAGGUACAAUGGCUCCUGGCUCUCAAAGGAGUUACAGACUAGCUGGAAGCACAGCUGGCCAACAAGCAACAACAGUGCAGAAGGAUGAAUGCUCAAGAGCUGGUGGGGUAGAGGAGCUUGGGAUGCCUGGUUUGGGGAGACGAAGGUCUCUGCUUUUGUGGACUUCCCCUCCCUGCUCCCCUGCCAUUGCCAGACCAUAUGGAAAAGCAGUAAAACAUGGAGGUGAAGAGGAUGA